CGAGUAACGGUUGGUCACCUGGCGUGUCGACAGUUGAAAAAACGCAAUUCUGUGUGUGUGUGUGCGCUGGUGGUGGUGUGAACACUGUGUGUAAUUACUCUCGUCCAACUUAGACAAAAGACGGGAAGGAGUUGAGAGGAGGGGGAGGGGCAGGCUGUGAUAAAAGCUGCGAGUUCGGGGCUCAGGGACCCAGUCGACCAGAGCAGCAUCCAGGAGACAGUGGACCUCUGUCACGAUGGAUCUCUUCGUAAACUUCAUCCCUCUUGUCUUCGCCUUAACAUUCGGAGGGUUGAGUGACUCGACAGCGAUCCCAGACAGAUCCCAAUAUAUCAACUGCUCUUUUCCUACAAAUGAUAUACCUACACUAAAAAAGGAUUCCUCGCAUGACACAUGUUGCUGUACGAACUCAGGAACGUGCACGACAUAUCUUUUCGCCACACAUAAAUGUGACCCCAGCACUGGCGACAUUCGACCCUUCCAUCACCAAGGUAAAUUCUUUGCCUCAAGGAACAUAACUACAAACAGCGACCUGAGUAUCAACUGCUCCUUUGGGACAAAUGAUAAACCUACAACAAAAAGUGAUCCUUCACACGACAGGUGUUGCUGUACGAACUCAGGAGAAUGCACGACAUUAUCUUUCUACCACACACAACUGUAACCACAGCACUGGCGAACUUAGACCACUCCCUUCCAUCAGAAAGAAAGUAACUACAAACAGCGACCUAAGUAUCAACUGCUCCUUUGGACAUUGAUAUACCUACAACAAAAAUGCAUCGUUCACACGACAGGUGUUGCUGUACGAGCUCGGAGAAUGCCGACUUAUCUUCUACCACACACUAUUGUGACUCCAAAACUGAGGAAAUUAGACCCCUGGGUCAGCCUUUGAACCCUUGGGCACAACUUGCCUCGGACUUUCUUCUACCAAGAAUCGACGGUCUGGCUACCAGUGUUGCCGGAAUAACACGGCGUACAUGCCUGACGUCAUGUCAUGUGACUUAUCAUCAGGGGAAGUCACUCUAAAGUCCCACGCCAAAUUUGCCAGUUUGAAAUUGUGCAGAAAGAAGCUUCCUCGCGCUCUGGACAGCGCACCUGCUCCGGCACUUAGCAACAAAGAAAUUCACAUUGAAGGCCGAGUGGAGAAGGUUCGCGUGGACAUCGGCGCCAACUACUUGAUCAUAGACCUUGUACCCUUCCGAUUCAACACUGCCACAAAACAUUCUCCCUGCUUCCGUGAAGAUCGCGGCCGUUUGCAAGUCAGGGUGAUGCUACACCCUAAACGGUGGUGCCAGCCCCUGGAUGAGAUACAAGAGUACUUGUACGACAAGACCCUUGACAUCUGGACGGACUUCCAGUCGUUGAAACACUGCAGGCCCAAGAGGAGUGGGUUCCAAAUCCCAUUCGAAAGUGAACAUUAUUGGAUGAUGGUGUCUCAGCGCGUUUUCUACUCAAAGCGGUGACUUAGGGACCCAGGCAGACAUUCUGAGGGUAGAUGAAGCAUGAAUAUGUAUGAGGAGGGAAGGGAGGUGAGAGAGGAGAGUGAAAAGCAAGUGGGAGAGGAAGAGUGAGAGAACGAAUGAGAGAAAGAUAUGCACGAUACUGACGAAUUCAAAAUACCUUUCAAUAUAUCUAGAAAAGCUCGAGCACCGCAGAUAAAUCUUAUUUUAAGCCGAGCUCACUCCAUGACACGUUUGGUAGAGGGGCGAGAAAAGAAGGGCAAACGGGUUUCCCUAAGUCUGUUGUUGUUACAUGCAUUGUGGAUAAUUGGAUAAGAGGUGACAUCAUUUGUUUAUUUAUUCUUUCCUCUCUCGAAGCUUGACUGGUGUGAGAUGACUGUGACGUGUCUGUUAUUUACAGAGACAAAACUUGUUUUAUGCACAUUACGUUGUAGAACUUCCUCAUGGGGUAGUCUCGGGAAAAAUCCGCCCAGGUGGUCGACUUCUGUGUGACUGCUCCUUGUCUCACACACCAUUGUUACGUCACUGCCCCUUGUCUCACACACCAUUGUUACGUCACUGCCCCUUGUCUCACGCACCAUUGUUACGUCACUGCCCCUUGUCUCACACACCAUUGUUACGUCACUGCCCCUUGUCUCACGCACCAUUGUUACGUCACUGCCCCUUGUCUCACACACCAUUUGUACGUCACUGCCCCUUGUCUCACACACCAUUUGUACGUCACUGCUCCUGGCUUUCACAGCGUUUUCUUACGUGACUGCCCUCUGUCACGUCAAGUUUACGUCAAGGCCCGUCACGUGACUACUCUUUGUUCUACACAUCAUUCAUAUAUCUUGCAUAUACCAUGCGGCAACUCAGCACAAUCACAGGUAGAUGCUCUGUUCCUCCUGUAGAGAGCAGCAUCACACCAGAGCUCGGUGCCAACCACGUCUGUAGAGUCCACCCUCCCACACCACACAAGAUCACACCAUUUGAUGGCUUCUUUUCACCUUUUGAAAAUGAAAAUGAGGUUUUAUAGACAGCCUGCCUCAAACUGCCAGUAGACCCAAGCUGUACAUAUUUCAGCAUGUUUAGAAUUAAAAAUAAUGCAUGUCGGUAUAUCCAUUUUAAAUAUCAAAAAAGCGUCAAAAUGUUGUUAUGAACAUGUUGCUACACUCCGUUGUUCCUGCGAAUAUUUUUGUAAGUAUCCUUUUUUAAGAAAACCACUAAGUAUACAUGUAUAUCUUUCCUGACAAAUGUGUGCAGUAUCAGUGUAAACUGCUGUUUAUACUGUUAAACAAUUAGCACAUUUACUUGUAUAUUUUAAUAUUUACUUAGUGUAUGAUUUAAUAUUUAUGUCUACUACUCUCUGUACUGAUUUCUUUACCUAUGCUUGCUUAGCCGCUGUUGUCACACCUAGCUAUAAUAUAAAGUAAGGUGGUAUACAGUAUACUAAUGUACAUAUAGGCUACUGUUGUGGGGGCAAUGAUGGAUUGAGUUCAACCAGGAGUGAAAAUAUACAUCCGGGUAAUAUUCCCGACUGGCAUUGCAGUUAAUUUGAAUUCCGUGAGAAACCACAUUUGCGUUUUUGCAGAGACUGAGUCCAGCAGGACAGGAAUUAUCAGAGCAUAUGGCUACUUCAUCCUUAUGAUAUAGCGACUUUCAAAUAAAAGACAACAAUGUUUGUGAAAAGAAGUAAAGGAUACGAAUGUUGAAUUUAAGAUAUUUUUAUCGUUUGCACUCCAUCCGCGUGUUUGUGCACGACGAUAUCAAAGUAUUUUCAGACAUCCGGUUUCCUUUUGGAUCUUGGGACCAUCGUCUUUAGGAACAAAUUGUUUAUUUGUCUUUUUUAUUUUCGUAAGCGGAGAAAAGCUCUUCUUGCUAUGUGAAAAUAUUUAAGUGUUGUUGUUGUAAUUUUCUGUUCCAUAUUAAAGGCAUACAAGGUCAAA